rnacentral:rRNA from 1 species
AUUGAACGCUGGCGGCAGGCCUAACACAUGCAAGUCGAACGGUAACAGGAAGCAGCUUGCUGCUUUGCUGACGAGUGGCGGACGGGUGAGUAAUGUCUGGGAAACUGCCUGAUGGAGGGGGAUAACUACUGGAAACGGUAGCUAAUACCGCAUAACGUCGCAAGACCAAAGAGGGGGACCUUCGGGCCUCUUGCCAUCGGAUGUGCCCAGAUGGGAUUAGCUAGUAGGUGGGGUAACGGCUCACCUAGGCGACGAUCCCUAGCUGGUCUGAGAGGAUGACCAGCCACACUGGAACUGAGACACGGUCCAGACUCCUACGGGAGGCAGCAGUGGGGAAUAUUGCACAAUGGGCGCAAGCCUGAUGCAGCCAUGCCGCGUGUAUGAAGAAGGCCUUCGGGUUGUAAAGUACUUUCAGCGGGGAGGAAGGGAGUAAAGUUAAUACCUUUGC